rnacentral:lncRNA from 1 species
GAUGCUGUUGCCGUUAUACACAAAAACUGGAUUGAUGGCAACAGCUGCAUGUGGCCUCCACAAACAAAGUACAUAAAAAGCUUGUUGAAAGCUGAGGCCAUGCCUGGAAACGAGUGGCUGAGACUGCCUUGUGAAGUGGUUGAUGCAUUUAGCACUUACGAUGAUGCGCUACGGGGCCUCAGAAAAGCUGAAGAUAACUCGGACAUUGCAAGUGCAAGUGACCGUGGCAGAGGAAAAAGGAAAGAAGGCAUUACAGUGAUGACGACGAGAUGCCACUCCCUCAGCCACCACAGUCUAUGCAGAAAAGAGCAACACAUGGUGUUGCAGAAAGAUCUGCAAGGAUGGAGCAUUCAAGGGUUUUGAAUAUGUCGCCGCAAUCGGC